rnacentral:rRNA from 1 species
AUUGAACGCUGGCGGAAUGCUUUACACAUGCAAGUCGAACGGUAGAGGGGGCAACCCCUUGAGAGUGGCGAACGGGUGAGUAAUAUAUCGGAACGUGCCCAGUCGUGGGGAUAACGUAGCGAAAGUUACGCUAAUACCGCAUACGAUCUAAGGAUGAAAGCGGGGGAUCGCAAGACCUCGCGCGAUUGGAGCGGCCGAUAUCAGAUUAGGUAGUUGGUGGGGUAAAGGCUCACCAAGCCAACGAUCUGUAGCUGGUCUGAGAGGACGACCAGCCACACUGGAACUGAGACACGGUCCAGACUCCUACGGGAGGCAGCAGUGGGGAAUUUUGGACAAUGGACGCAAGUCUGAUCCAGCCAUUCCGCGUGCAGGAUGAAGGCCCUCGGGUUGUAAACUGCUUUUGUACGGAACGAAAGGUUUCUCUUAAUACGAGGAGCUCAUGACGGUACCGUAAGAAUAAGCACCGGCGUAACUACGUGCCAGCAGCCGCGGUAAUGUG